UACAGAGGUCUCAAGCGUUGUUCGGAUUCAUUGGGCGUAAAGGGUGCGUAGGCGGUGUCGUAAGUCGGAUGUGAAAUCCCGGGGCUUAACUUCGGAACUGCAUUCGAUACUGCGAUACUCGAGGACUCGAGAGGAGAUUGGAAUUCACGGUGUAGCAGUGAAAUGCGUAGAUAUCGUAAGGAAGACCAGUGGCGAAGGCGGGUCUCUGGACAGUUCCUGACACUGAGGCACGAAGGCCAGGGGAGCAAACGGG
rnacentral:rRNA from 1 species